AACUUAGCAGAGAUGCUUUGGUGCCUUCGGGAACUCUGAGACAGGUGCUGCAUGGCUGUCGUCAGCUCGUGUUGUGAAAUGUUGGGUUAAGUCCGCAACGAGCGCAACCCUUAUCCUUUGUUGCCAGCGGUUCGGCCGGGAACUCAAAGGAGACUGCCGGUGAUAAACCGGAGGAAGGUGGGGAUGACGUCAAGUCAUCAUGGCCCUUACGGCCAGGGCUACACACGUGCUACAAUGGCGCAUACAAAGAGAAGCGACCUCGCGAGAGCAAGCGGACCUCAUAAAGUGCGUCGUAGUCCGGAUUGGAGUCUGCAACUUGACUCCAUGAAGUCGGAAUCGCUAGUAAUCGUAGAUCAGAAUGCUACGGUGAAUACGUUCCCGGGCCUUGUACACACCGCCCGUCACACCAUGGGAGUGGGUUGCAAAAGAAGUAGGUAGCUUAACCUUCGGGAGGGCGCUUACCACUUUGUGAUUCAUGACUGGGGUGAAGUCGUAACAAGGUAGGCGUACUACA
rnacentral:rRNA from 1 species